rnacentral:rRNA from 1 species
UACGUAGGUGGCAGGCGUUGUCCGGAAUUAUUGGGCGUAAAGGGCGUGUAGGCGGCCGGUUAAGUCAGCUGUGAAAGCCCGGGGCUCAACCCCGGAGAGUCGGCUGAUACUGGUGGACUAGAGUACGGAAGAGGUAGCUGGAAUUCCCGGUGUAGCGGUGAAAUGCGUAGAUAUCUGGAGGAACACCGGUGGCGAAAGCGCGGGCCUGGGCCGUAACUGACGCUGAGGAACGAAAGCCAGGGGAGCGAAAGGG